GAUAGCUCAGUAGUAGAGUGCAUGUUUAUGAUGCACGAGGUCCUGGGUUCGAUCCCUAGUC
rnacentral:tRNA from 1 species